GUCCGGGACGCGAGGCCUGACGACCCCAGCACGUACUCCUGCGAGGUGCAGCACUCCCUGACCGGGGAGAAGAGGAGAAGUCCACCAGCCAUGGUUUCUGUUUCACAUUCAACAGGGAGCAUGGCUCCCCGAAUCCUGGCCAUAUCUGAAGACGAAGUGGUUCCGCAAGGAGGUGACAUUCGGCUCGUUUGCUGUGCCAUCGGGAGUCCUCCGCCAACUUACAGUUGGUUUCGUCACAACAACGGUCGCCUCAGCCCCGUAUCCAACAGCGUGCGCGUGUCGGUAUCAGAUCAGGUGCUGAUCGUGCGACGC